AUGAGAUCGUUAAGAUAUGCUGGAGCCUGACCAUUAAUUGCUUUGUAAGUCAGGAGAAGGAUUUUGAAUUCUAUUCUGUAUUUUACCGGGAGCCAGUGCAGAGCAGCUAAUACAGGAGUAAUAUGAUCCCGUUUCCUUGUUCUUGUCAAUACACGUGCCGCUGCAUUUUGGAUCAACUGAAGAGUCUUAAGCGACAUGUAUGAAGGACUCUGAGGCGUCUGACUGACUGUUGUCUGAGAGAUUCUUCUGACUCAGAAGUCAGCUCCUCCAUCUUUAACUUAUUAAGACUGGAUGCAACAUUUGAGUGUUUCUCCCUUUAGAGCCGGAUGAGACUUUGCCAUCUUUUAUAUGAUGUAAUCGUUUUCGAGACUUGUGACAGAUGAAUGCAUUAGCCUCUUAGCCUCUUAGCUAGCAGGAACGUUUUUUAAAGUUUGGCUUUAGACGAGGGCUGACGAUUCGAUCGUGGGGAGCGACUCUGAUGCCGACUACAGCUGUUACUUGGAUGAAAACAACAAAGACAAUUAAUUUCAGCGAGCUAUCACAUGUUAUUAAACUGCCACUUAGUUUUAUUGAAAAUAUGUCUGGAAACAAGCACAUCGGUCAACAUAUUAAAUACAUUUUUGUUUUGUUUAUUGAUAAAAAAAGUUAAACUGGGUCGUCGAAUAAACAAAAACAAUACAUUUUAUUUGAGUUAUUUUGUUUUAAUUCAACACUAUGAUCUGCUUCAGUUGUCUGGGAUCUUUUAAAUUAGUUUUUAAUUUAUAAUACCAGAAAUAAGAACAAGUAAUGACAAUUGCCCGUAAUUGAAAUGACACGACCUAUUGGCACUAUACGUCGGUGCCACCAUGUACACUAACUCUCGAUUGUUCUGCAGGCCUGCGAUGAGUGAGCGGGUGGAGACAGUGGAGAUCGUCCAUCCUGCUGAAACGUCUCUGCAGGAGGUCAGGGACAGCGAGACUGAAGCUCAGAGGCCUGCGAUGAGUGAGCGGGUGGAGACAGUGGAGAUCGUCCAUCCUGCUGAAACGUCUCUGCAGGAGGUCAGGGACAGCGAGACUGAAGCUCAGAGCUCUCAGAGACCAGACUGUCCAGGACCCAGCAUGCCCGCGGGGGGGAGCCUUCUCAGUCCUGAUGAGUCCCCAGACCCCGGGGUGUCUAUCAAGAGUACUGCGUCUAACGAUCACGUCACUAGUUCCUCUCUUGAAGAACCUGUGGCACCAACUGGAUCAAGCUGUGACAAGUCACCAGAUGGCAUCAAUGCACAAAAAAAUACCUCUUCUUAUUACCAGAGGCGGAGGAAGUACAUUCUAUCUAAGUAAAAGUCGUAAUACCAAAGUGUAGAAAUACUCUGCUUUAGCUAAAGACUCAUAUAUGAGACUUAUAUGUCCCCUUUGUUCUACACACGUACAGACUGCUUGCACUCUGUAUGACUAUUGGACCUUCUUUGCAAAGAAUAAAUAUUCUAAAAACAAGUUUAUUCCUCAACAAUCUUCAUUUCAGUAUUAUAAACUUCACUGGUCAUUUGUAUAAGGACUUAAUUCAAACUUUCUACAUAUAUACAACUGGCUAUUGAGGUGACUUGGUGUAAAUAAGGUCAAUUAAUAAAUAUAACAAAAUGAUAUUAACUAUAAUAAUAAUAAUAAUUAUAUUUAAUGUUAAUGCACCUGCUUCAUUGUAGUGCCUAUUUUGAAGUCCCUAUUAAUUGUUUUAUUAAUAUUAAAGUUUCACCUUUAAUUCAUAAUUUCAUGUCUUUGUGUGAUUUCAGUGAACUGACCAUUAAUUAACUAAAAUAACUGCAGUUACAGGUCUGGUGUUGUAUUUAUGUUGUUAUAUCUACAGCAGAGUUUUAGCAGUGCUACAGUAUCAGUCAGAGGCCAGCGGUCUUCUGGCAGGUGAACAUUGUUUUUAGUUGUAAGACUCAUUUAGGCCUCGAGGGUGUACCACUACCCAUCGAACUAUAAAGGGAAGAAU
ensembl:lncRNA